rnacentral:rRNA from 1 species
AGCGAACGCUGGCGGCAGGCCUAACACAUGCAAGUCGAACGAACCCUUCGGGGUUAGUGGCGGACGGGUGAGUAACACGUGGGAACGUGCCUUUAGGUUCGGAAUCACUCAGGGAAACUUGUGCUAAUACCGAAUGUGCCCUUCGGGGGAAAGAUUUAUCGCCUUUAGAGCGGCCCGCGUCUGAUUAGCUAGUUGGAGAGGUAAGGGAUCACCAAGGCGACGAUCAGUAGCUGGUCUGGGAGGAUGGGCAGCCACGCUGGGACUGAGACACGGCGCAAACUCCUACGGGAGGCAGCAGUGGGGAAUCUUGCGCAAUGGGCGAAAGCCUGACGCAGCCAUGCCGCGUGGAUGAUGAAGGUCUUAGGAUUGUAAAAUCCUUUCACCGGUGAAGAUAAUGACUGUAGCCGGAGAAGAAGCCCCGGCUAACUUCGUGCCAGCCGCCGCUGUAACAC